rnacentral:rRNA from 1 species
UACAGAGGGUGCGAGCGUUGUUCGGAAUUACUGGGCGUAAAGCGCGCGCAGGCGGCUCUUUAAGUCUCGUGGUCAAAUGCCGGGGCUCAACCCCGAGCGUGCCGGGGAUACUGGAGGGCUGGAGACAGGUAGAGGCAAGCGGAAUUCCGGGUGUAGCGGUGGAAUGCGUAGAGAUCCGGAAGAACACCGGAGGCGAAGGCGGCUUGCUGGGCUGCACCUGACGCUGAGCCGCGAAAGCCAGGGGAGCGAACGGG